rnacentral:rRNA from 1 species
UACGUAGGGACCAAGCGUUGUUCGGAUUCAUUGGGCGUAAAGGGUGUGUAGGUGGCGCCGUAAGUCGGGUGUGAAAUUUCGGAGCUUAACUCCGAAACUGCAUUCGAUACUGCGGUGCUUGAGGACUGGAGAGGAGACUGGAAUUCAUGGUGUAGCAGUGAAAUGCGCAGAUAUCAGGAGGAACACCGGUGGCGAAGGCGGGUCUCUGGGCCGAUAUCGACGCUGAGGAGCGAAAGCGUGGGGAGCGAACAGG